UUUCACUAGGGGUGCCUUAAGAAAAGAGGCUGAGAUUGAAUGGCAUUCAAAACCCUUUGAACCUGAUCUGGUUUGUACCAGUGGAGGGAAGUGUG
rnacentral:ncRNA from 1 species